rnacentral:rRNA from 1 species
GACGAACGCUGGCGGCGUGCCUAAUACAUGCAAGUCGAACGCAGUGGGGACGGGUGAGUAACACGUGGGUAACCUCCCAUCAGAGGGGAUAACACUUGGAAACAGGUGCUAAACCGAUCCUGAUGGAUGGACCCGCGGUGCAUUAGCUAGUUGGUGCGGUCACGGCUCACCAAGGCCACGCUGCAUAGCCGACCUGAUAGGGUGAUCGGCCACACGGGGACGGAGACGCGGCCCAGACUCCUGCGGGAGGCAGCAGAAGGGAAUCUUCGGCAAUGGACGAAAGUCUGACCGAGCAACGCCGCGUGAGUGAAGAAGGUUUUCGGAUCGUAAAACUCUGUUGUUAGAGAAGCGGUAUCUAACCAGAAAGCCACGGCUAACUACGUGCCAGCAGCCGCGGUAAAC